GGGCAGGGACCGGAGUUCCUGCGGCUGCGAAGAGCCCCCAGGCACCGCCGGCCUGCGGGCAGUGCAAGCGCACCGCCCCAAAACCGCGGUGGUCCAGACCGCAGAGACGGCGCGUGCCUCCGCCGGCGGGGGCAAGGCGCUCAGUCUCUAGAGGGCUACGGGCACCUGGGGAGGGCAGGAAGCAGGGGGCGACACGGUGACGGGGUCUCUCUUGGCUGCUGGAGGGGAGGCGAGCAGGCUGUUCGGCCGAGUGAUGUUGGAGAUGUGGACCGCCUGCGGGUGGCCGCGCCGGAGCAAGGACCCGAAGUCAAAGCCAUUCAGAGGCUGACUUGACCGGGCUGGGUUAUGUGGCCGGUGAGGGAGAAAGGAGUGAGCUGGUGGCCGGAGGGCGAUACCACUGGCCGAGGGGCGGCGCAGGGGGACAGAAGCCAGUUCGGAAGCCACACUGCGUUUUCCAGCCCCCCUUGCAAUAUGAGCUCUGGCUAGUGGAUGUGGUCAGAAGUGCUUCGGAGCCCCCCCCCCGGCCGGAUCCCUCCCCGGCCGGAUCCUGUUGCUCUCUUCCCCAUAUACCUGCUGGAUGUUGAUGUCCAAGGCAACUUGGGACUGACUUGAGGAAGGGAGGGCUUCUGUUCUGUCAGCCUGCCUUUGAAUAAUGGUAUGAGCAGAGUCUCCCUCUCAGCCAACUGAACAAGAAUUAAACUUCUAUUGGGUUAA